UACGUAGGGUGCGAGCGUUAAUCGGAAUUACUGGGCGUAAAGCGUGCGCAGGCGGUGAUGUAAGACAGGCGUGAAAUCCCCGGGCUUAACCUGGGAACUGCAUUUGUGACUGCAUCGCUGGAGUGCGGCAGAGGGGGAUGGAAUUCCGCGUGUAGCAGUGAAAUGCGUAGAUAUGCGGAGGAACACCGAUGGCGAAGGCAAUCCCCUGGACCUAUACUGACGCUCAUGCACGAAAGCGUGGGGAGCAAACAGG
rnacentral:rRNA from 1 species